rnacentral:lncRNA from 1 species
CAAACUGUAUGUCUUAUUAUUGUUUGUUUGCAAUAAUCUGUGCUGUCUAUAUCCUCCUGGGUUUCUGGCUGCCCACCAAAGAUCGAGGUCAAUUUUUCCCAAGCCACACCCCUAAAGAAAACUGACUCGCUCCCAUGAGAAGCCAUCAACUGUAGGUCCUCAGGUAGGGAUGGACUUAGGGACUCCUUCCCACCUCAUGUGGACUGGCUUGACCUUGCACAGGAGUUGUGCAGGCAACCACAGUGGUUGUGAGGUCAUGAGUGAGGUAUCCUGCCAGCUCCCGAAGACACUGUUUCCACCCUGCGCCUUCCUUCCCAGCCUCUGGCACUUGCAGUCUCUGGGACUGCUCUGACGUGGUCCCUGAGCGCUGGGAAAGGGCGUGAUAUAGAUGCUCCACUUGUGACUCAUCGCUCCGCAGAUGCUUUGACCAGCUGUGAGUUUCUGCAUAGCAUAUUCUUUUUCACGGAGUGGUGUUUGCUCGGGUUUACUCCUCCAUCGAGCUGUGCAAACAAAUCUGUGCCACUUAAUCUUAGUGCGCCCAUUUCCCUUAGGAACGGACGCGUUACAACCCUUCUGCUCCCUGUGCUUGGUCUUAGUUUUGCAAUAAACAAUCUGGGUAGAUUUUUAAAAAAAAAAAAGUAUACAUAUUUUUUUUAAAAAAAGAAAAACUAAAUGAUUUUUCUGUGUCUAGGCAUAUUGUCAAAAACAGCAAAACCAUGUUUUCUUAAAGAAGGGCUAUUCUGUAAAAUAGAGAUCAAUGUUUUCCACAAAAUAAAA